AUUGAACGCUGGCUGCAGGCUUAACACAUGCAAGUCGAGCGAGCGGCGGACGGGUGAGUAAUGUCUGGGAAACUGCCUGAUGGAGGGGGAUAACUACUGGAAACGGUAGCUAUUACCGCAUACCAUCAGAAGUGCCCAGCUGGGAUUAGCUAGUAGGUGGGGUAAUGGCUCACCUAGGCGACUAUCCCUAGCUGGUCUGCGAGGAUGACCAGCCACACUGCAACUGAGACACGGUCCAGACUACAACGGGGGGCAGCAGUGAGGAAUAUUGCACAAUGGGAGCAAGCCUGAUGCAGCGAUGCCGCGGGUGUGAAGAAGGCCUUCGGGUUGUAAAGCACUUUCAGCGAGGAGGCGUUACUCGCAGAAGAAGCACCGGCUAGCUCCGUGCCAGCAGCCGCGGUAAUAC
rnacentral:rRNA from 1 species